rnacentral:misc_RNA from 1 species
AACGCACAUCGCGCCCUUUGGCAUUCCGAGGGGCAUGCCUGUUCGAGCGUCAUUACACCACUCAAGCCUGGCUUGGCAUUGGGCGUCGGGGCUCCCCGCGUCUCAAUUUCGUCGGCUGGACGGCUCCGAUCGCAGCGUUGUGGCAUUAAAUUCGCUGGCGAGACGGGGCUUCCACGCCGUUUAAAAACGUUAUAUUCAAGGUUGACCUCGGAUCAGGUAGGGAUACCCGCUGAACUUAA